GUCGGUGUGGCUCAGUUGGUUAGAGCGUUGGUCUCAUAUGUUUCGAUCAUGUGACUUGGUUAAACACCAGGGUAAUCCAAAGGUCGAGAGUUCGAGCCUCUCCACCGACA